rnacentral:rRNA from 1 species
UACGAAGGGGGCUAGCGUUGUUCGGAAUCACUGGGCGUAAAGCGCACGUAGGCGGACCUUUAAGUCAGGGGUGAAAUCCCGGGGCUCAACCUCGAAACUGCCUUUGAUACUGGAGGUCUCGGGACCGGAAGAGGUGAGUGGAAUUCCUAGUGUAGAGGUGAAAUUCGUAGAUAUUAGGAAGAACACCAGUGGCGAAGGUGGCUCACGGGUCCGGUUCUGACGAUGAGGUGCGAAAGCGUGGGGAGCAAACAGG